rnacentral:rRNA from 1 species
AGGGCGGCUUGGUACAAGGACGACUGGCUUGCAGGGCUGCGUACCGGCUUCAGGAUUUUGGCACCUACCAUGUACAUAUUCUUUGCAUCUGCCCUGCCGGUCAUCGCCUUCGGAGAGCAACUAAGCCAUGAAACAAAUGGAAUGCUCAGCACAGUCGAAACAUUAGCAUCUACGGCGAUAUGUGGCAUCAUACAUUCGAUACUCGGAGGACAGCCAAUGAUGAUAGUUGGAGUUGCAGAACCUACCGUUAUCAUGUAUACGUAUCUCUACAACUUUGCCAAGAAGCAGCAACGUAUUGGAGAAGCGCUAUAUUUAGCGUGGGCUGGAUGGGUCUGCAUAUGGACUGCAAUUAUGCUCUUUCUUCUAGCGACUUUCAAUGCUUCAAAUGUUAUAAGCAAAUUUACAAGGGUUGCAGGAGAACUUUUUGGGAUGUUGAUCACUGUUCUCUUCCUACAAGAAGCUAUCAAGGGAAUUGUGAGAGAAUUCGGUCCUCCUAAAGGUGUUGACGAUGGUUCACCAAUACACCAGUUCCAAUGGAUGUAUCUCAAUGGUCUACUUGGUGUUAUCUUUUCAACUGGCUUACUAUACACUGCACUAAGAACUAGGCGCGCAAGAUCAUGGCUGUACGGCCUAGGCUGGCUGAGAAGCUUCAUCGCCGAUUAUGGUGUGCCGCUAAUGGUGAUUGUGUGGACCGCAUUGUCCUACGCACUACCAAGCAAAGUUCCUUCAGGAGUCCCUAGGAGGCUAUUCAGUCCUCUUCCCUGGGAGUCAAGCUCACUACAGCAUUGGACCGUAGCAAAGGAUUUAUUCUCCGUCCCUCCAGCCUUUAUAUUUGCGGCAAUUCUGCCUGCAUUGAUGGUUGCCGGACUCUAUUUCUUUGAUCAUAGUGUAGCUUCACAGCUAGCUCAGCAAAAGGAGUAUAAUCUGAAGAAACCAUCUGCCUACCAUUAUGACAUUCUAGUCCUUGGAUUGACGGUCCUGCUUUGUGGUUUAAUCGGCAUCCCUCCAUCAAAUGGAGUACUUCCACAGUCCCCCAUGCACACGAGAAGCCUUGCCGUCCUUCGGGGGCAGUUCCUUCGCAAAAAAAUGGUUCAAACUGCCAAGGAGAGUGUGGUGAAUCGUGCUAACAGGAUGGAAAUAUAUGGAAAGUUGCAUGAGGUCUUCGUUGAAAUGGACAAUGAACAGAAUACGGGUUCCGUUGACAUGGAAUUGAAGAGCUUGAAGGAGGCAGUGCUGCGAGAAAACGGUGAAGAUGGGAAGCCAGCCGGAGAAUUUGACCCUCGGAAACAUAUCGAGCCCCAUUUGCCCGUUCGAGUGAACGAGCAGCGGCUAAGUAACCUGUUGCAGUCAUUAAUGGUUGGUGGUUGCGUUGCAGCUAUGCCGGUUAUCAGGAUGAUACCGACAUCGGUGUUGUGGGGUUACUUUGCAUACAUGGCCAUAGACAGCCUACCAGGGAACCAGUUCUGGGAAAGGAUACAACUUAUCUUCAUCUCAUCAAGCCGACGCUACAAGGUUCUUGAAGGUCCCCAUGCAUCUUUUGUUGAGUCAGUGCCUUCGAGAACAACAUCAGCCUUCACGAUCUUCCAAUUUGUGUAUCUACUGAUCUGCUUCGGCAUAACGUGGAUACCAAUAGCAGGGAUCUUGUUCCCGUUGCCUUUCUUCCUCAUGAUAGCCAUCCGGCAGCACCUGCUACCAAAGUUCUUCGAGCCGAGUGACCUACGGGAACUCGACACGGCUGAGUACGAAGAGCUUGAAGGUUUCCACCAGGAAGGGGAAGCUGGUUCCAACUUAGGGAGCUGCCGCAGCAGCAUUGACGCGGAGAUGUUGGAUGAACUCACAACAAACCGUGGUGAGCUCAAGCACCGGACUGUCAGCAACCGUGAAGAGAGGCACAUCCAGGUGCAUUCGAAUGCAAUUCAGCCAAGCGUGUGA